GCGUCGUUCGUUCAUUUUGAAUCGACACACUUUCAGGGUGUGUCCAUUAAAUACUGCGAUUGCACGCAUGCAAGAGAGGGCACCCUUUACCAAGGCUGUGCAAAGGUGUGAUGGCUGCCAGCAGUUUGUACAGUUCACAAGUCCUGUGGUUGGAAAGUCGUGGGCUUUGCAGAGGGUUAGAUCUUAACGGACUGAACAUGGCUCCAUGUGGAAUUGGACCACACAUCUGAAGGUGGUUUAAGGUCUAACCUGAGGAUGCCAUCUGAACUAAUCAUAGCUUCUGCCAUUUGAGUUGUGUGAAGACCACAUCAUGAGGCUUGCUGACAUGCACAGCUUCUGCCAUUGAGGCAUGUGAAGACCACAUCAACCUUGCAGACAUGAGGUCCAACUCUGCACAGAUGGAAGCAGUCCUCAGAAUGAGAAUGGUUCCUUGGGCUUCCUCCCCAGUGUCCUCAUGGUUUGGCUGACGUGCUGCACUGAAGACUCUAUCCAGACUCUAUUCCUCCAUAUUAUGCUGAUUUGAAGUCCUUGGCAGCUGUCCUGGCCUGAUGCAACUGAAAGAGGUGCCAUACAGGAAGACUAAUAUAUGCUGAAGGACUGGAUCUGAAGUGUUGAACAGCUUUCCUGGCCAGAUGCAACUUAGAGGUGCCAUAGGAAGACUCGUCUAUGCUAAAGAGAUUUGAAGCUCCCUGCUGCUGUAACAAGAUGGCUUUCUUGUACUGUAAAAUUGUAGUCCUGUUUGUAAAAUAAAUGUGUGACUGUAA